AUGUCUGUGAGAAUACGCAUUUCUCUGCUUCUCAUAAAGCACUUCCUAUGUUUUUUUUUAGGGCUGAUGCAUGUCCACCCAUAGCACCAUUUACAGCCAUCAUCAAAAGCAUGUGCGAAAAGGGAAGUAGCUUUUGUCCAUCCAGACCACUAGAUGAAUUCAGGUCUAUUUGGCCUGGAGAACCUGCUACAGCCGUGGUCAAGGUCCAGUCAGUUUUAGGCAGUCCCACAGGACCCAAAAGGUGCCAGCACCUGAAGGUAAACAACAUACAGGAGGGCAGCGGGGUCGGACCAGCGUCUGGACUCAGACUCUCCCCACAGACCGAGCCUGUCAAAGCCCGGCUUGUCUGGAUCGCUGAGAGAAGUUGAGCCUCCGCGGCACCUUGGCUUGACACCG
ensembl:lncRNA